rnacentral:lncRNA from 1 species
AAGAGUUGGCUUACAAUCGCCACUUCACACAAUACAUAAAUAAAUCAUACAUCAAUCAGAGUACACACAUAGGUCCGACUACGGAACCAAAAGAAAAGAAGACAGCCCCAAAUGCUAGAUCCCCGAUCGUCCCAAUUGGGCUCCACUACUGAUCAUCAGGAAACGAAACAUAGUAACGACCAAGUUCCUCGUCGAGCUCCCACUUGAGCUCGGUUGCGUCGCCUGCACUGGUAUCCUCGGCACCUGCAACUGUUUUGGAAGUAUCUGUGAGUCACGAGGACUCAACAAUCUCACACCCGCGAGAUCAAGACUAUUUAAGCUUAUGGGUAGGAAAGGGGUAGUGAGGUGGAGCUGCAGCAAGCACUAGCAUGUAUGGUGGCUAACAUACGCAAAUAAGAGCGAGAAGAGAAGCAACGCAGCGGUCGUGAACUAGAAGUGAUCAAGAAGUGAUCCUGAAACUACUUACGUUCAAGCAUAACACAAGAACCGUGUUCACUUUCCGGACUCCGCUGAAAAGAGACCAUCACGGCUACACACACGGUUGAUGCAUUUUAAUUAAGUCAAGUGUCAAGUCUACAACCGGACAUUAACAAAUUCCCAUCUGCCACAUAACCGCGGGCACGGCUCUCAAAAGUUUAUACCCUGCAGGGGUGUCCCAACUUAGCCCAUUAUAAGCUCUCACGGUCAACGAAGGAUAUUCCUUCUCCCGGGAAGACCCGAUCAGUCUCGGAAUCCCGGUUUACAAGACAUUUCGACAAUGGUAAAACAAGACCAGCAAAGCCGCCCGAUGUGCCGACAAAUCCCGAUAGGAGUUGCACAUAUCUCGUUCUCAGGGCAACACCGGAUGAGACUAGCUACGAGUAAAACCAGCCCUCAAGUUUCCCUAAGGUGGCCCCGCAGGCAGCUCAGUUCGGACCAACACUCGAAGGAGCACUGGCCCGAGGGGGUCUAAAAUAAAGAUGACCCUUGAGUCUGCAGAACCCGUAGCCGUCGAUCCUGUGCCGUCUGAGCCGCUGUUGCUGUGCUAUCGCCAUGUACGGGUUCUGCAGACUCAAGGGUCAUCUUUAUUUUAAACCCCCCCGGGCCAGUGCUCCUUCGAGUGUUGGUCCCAACUGAGCUGCCUGCGAGGCCACCUUGGGGAAACUUGAGGGCUGGUUUUACUCGUAGCUAGUCUCAUCCGGUGUUGCCCUGAGAACGAGAUAUGUGCAGCUCCUAUCGGGAUUUGUCGGCACAUCGGGCGGCUUUGCUGGUCUUGUUUUACCAUUGUCGAAAUGUCUUGUAAACCGGGAUUCCGAGACUGAUCGGGUCUUCCCGGGAGAAGGAAUAUCCUUCGUUGAUCGUGAGGGCUUAUAAUGGGCUAAGUUGGGACACCCCUGCAGGGUAUAAACUUUCGAGAGCCGUGCCCGCGGUUAUGUGGCAGAUGGGAAUUUGUUAAUGUCCGGUUGUAGAGAACUUGACACCACUUGACUUAAUUAAAAUGCAUCAACCGUGUGUGUAGCCGUGAUGGUCUCUUUUCGGCGGAGUUCGGAAAGUGAACACGGUUCUUGUGUUAUGCUUGAAUGUAAGUAGUUUCAGGAUCACUUCUUGAUCACUUCUAGUUCACGACCGCUGCGUUGCUUCUCUUCUCGCUCUUAUUUGCGUAUGUUAGCCACCAUACAUGCUAGUGCUUGCUGCAGCUCCACCUCACUACCCCUUUCCUACCCAUAAGCUUAAAUAGUCUUGAUCUCGCGGGUGUGAGAUUGCUGAGUCCUCGUGACUCACAGAUACUUCCAAAACAGUUGCAGGUGCCGAGGAUACCAGUGCAGGCGACGCAACCGAGCUCAAGUGGGAGCUCGACGAGGAACUUGGUCGUUACUAUGUUUCGUUUCCUGAUGAUCAGUAGUGGAGCCCAGUUGGGACGAUCGGGGAUCUAGCAUUUGGGGUUGUCUUCUUUUCUUUUGGUUCCGUAGUCGGACCUAUGUGUGUACUCUGAUUGAUGUAUGAUUUAUUUAUGUAUUGUGUGAAGUGGCGAUUGUAAGCCAACUCUUUAUCCCAUUCUUGUUCAUUACAUGGGAUUGUGUGAAGAUGACCCUUCUUGCGACAAAACCACAAUGCGGUUAUGCCUCUAAGUCGUGCCUCGACACGUGGGAGAUAUAGCUGCAUCGUGGGCGUUACAACUUUGCUGCAUCACCCUUUCCUCUUCAAGGGAAAACCAACGCAGUGCUCAAGAGGUAGCAGCAUGGUUCGCAAGCAUCAAGCGAUUCAUAAUCAAGUGAUUCCAAAAGCCCAUCAGCAUGGAGUUUCUUCAUGUGCUUUACACUAAUAUGACCUAAACGGUAGUGCCACAAAUAAGUUGCACUAUCAUUAUUAACUUUGUAUCUUUUGGCUUCAAUAUUAUGAAUAUGUGUAUCACUACGAUCGAGAUCCAACAAACCAUUUUCGUUGGGUGUAUGACCAUAGAAGGUUUAUUCAUGUAAACAGAACAACAAUUAUUCUCUAACUUAAAUGAAUAACCGUAAUAUUGCAAUAAACAUGAUCAAAUCAUAUUUAUGCUCAACGCAAACACCAAAUAACAUUUAUUUAGGUUCAACACUAAUCCCGAAAGUAUAGGGAGUGUGCGAUGAUGAUCAUAUCAAUCUUGGAACUACUUCCAACACACAUCAUCACUUCACCCUUAACUAGUUUAUGUUCAUUCUGCAACUCCCGUUUCGAGUUACUACUCUUAGCAACUGAAUCAGUUUCAAAUGCCGAGGGGUUGCUAUAAACACUAGUAAAGUACACAUAAAUAACAUGUAUAUCAAAUAUGCCUUUGUUCACUUUACCAUCCUUCUUAUUCGCCAAGUAUCUAGGGUAGUUCCACUUCUAGUGACCAUUUUCAUUACAGUAGAAGCACUCAGUCUCAGGCUUAGGUCCAGACUUGGGCUUCUUCACUUGAGCAGCAACUUGCUUGCCGUUCUUCUUGAAGUUCCCCUUCUAUCCCUUUGCCCUUUUCUUGAAACUAGUGGUCUUGUUAACCAUCAACACUUGAUGCUCUUUCUUGAAUUCUACCUUCAUCGAUUUCAGCAUCGCGAAGAGCUCGGGAAUUACUUUCGUCAUCCUUUGCAUAUUAUAGUUCAUCAUGAAGUUCUAGUAACUUGGAGAUAGUGACUAGAGAACUUUGUCAAUUACUAUCUUAUCUGGAAGAUUAACUCCCACUUGAUACAAGCAAUUGUAGUACCCAGACAAUCUGAGUACAUGCUCACUGGUUGAGCUAUUCUCCUCCAUCUUGUAGGCAAAGUACCGUCAGAGGUCUCAUACCUCUUGACACGGGCAUGAGUCUGAAAUACUAAUUUCAAUUCUUGGAACAUCUUAUAUGCUCCAUGAUGUUCAAAACAUUUUUGAAGUUCCAGUUUUAAGCUGUAAAGCAUGGUGCACUAAACUAUCAAGUAGUCAUCAUACCGAGCUUUUGUCAAAACGUUCAUAACGUCUGCAUCUGCUCCUGCAAUAGGUCUGUCACCUAGCGGUGCAUCAAGGACAUAAUUCUUCUGUGCAGCAAUGAGGAAAAUCCUCAGAUCACGGACCAAGUCUGCAUCAUUGCUACUAUCAUCUUUCAACUUAUAUUUCUCUAGGAACAUAUAAAAAUAAACGGGGAGCUACAUCGCGAGCUAUUGAUCUACAACAUAGAUAUGCUAAUACUACCAGGACUAAGUUCAUGAUAAAUUAAAGUUCAAUUAAUCAUAUUACUUAAGACCUCCCACUUAGAUAGACAUCCCUCUAGUCAUCUAAAUGAUCACGUGAUCCAAAUCAACUAAACCAUGUCCGAUCAUCACGUGAGAUGGAGUAGUUUUCAAUGGUGAACAUCACUAUGUUGAUCAUAUCUACUAUAUGAUUCACGCUCGACCUUUCGGUCUCAGUGUUCCGAGGCCAUAUCUGCAUAUGCUAGGCUCGUCAAGUUUAACCCGAGUAUUCUGCGUGUGCAAAACUGGCUUGCACCCGUUGUAUGUGAACGUAGAGCUUAUCACACCCGAUCAUCACGUGGUGUCUCAGCACGACGAACUGUCGCAACGGUGCAUACUCAGGGAGAACACUUAUACCUUGAAAUUUAGUGAGAGAUCAUCUUAUAAUGCUACCGCCAAACUAAGUAAAAUAAGAUGCAUAAAGGAUAAACAUCACAUGCAAUCAAUAUAAGUGAUAUGAUAUGGCCAUCAUCAUCUUGUGCCUUUGAUCUCCAUCUCCAAAGCACCGUCAUGAUCACCAUCGUCACCGGCUUGACACCUUGAUCUCCAUCGAAGCAUCGUUGUCGUCUCGCCAACUAUUACUUCUACGACUAUCGCUACCACUUAGUGAUAAAGUAAAGCAAUUACAUGGCGAUUGCAUUUCAUACAAUAAAGCGACAACCAUUGGCUCCGGCCAGUUGCCGAUAACUGCUACAAAACAUGAUCAUCUCAUACAACAAUUUAUAUAUCAUCAUGUCUUGACCAUAUCACAUCACAACAUGCCCUGCAAAAACAAGUUAGACGUCCUCUACUUUGUUGUUGCAAGUUUUACGUGGCUGCUACGGGCUGGGCAAGAACCGUUCUUACCUACGCAUCAAAACCACAACGAUUAUUCAUCAAGUGUGCUGUUUUAACCUUCAACAAGGACCGGGCGUAGCCACACUCGAUUCAACUAAAGUUGGAGAAACUGACACCCGCCAGCCACCUGUGUGCAAAGCACGUCGGUAGAACCAGUCUCGCGUAAGUGUACGCGUAAUGUCGGCCCGGGCCGCUUCAUCCAACAAUACCGCCGAAUCAAAGUAUGACAUGCUGGUAAGCAGUAUGACUAUUAUCGCCCACAACUCUUUGUGUUCUACUCGUGCAUAUAACAUCUACGCAUAGACCUGGCUCUGAUGCCACUGUUGGGGAACGCAGUAAUUUCAAAAAAAAUUCUACGAUCACGCAAGAUCUAUCUAGGUGAUGCAUAGCAAUGAGCGGGAGAGUGUGUCCACGUACCCUCGUAGACCGAAAGCGGAAGUUUUAUAUCAACGCGGUUGAUGUAGUCGUACGUCUUCAUGAUCCGACCGAUCCUAGUACCGAAAGUACGACACCUCCGCGAUCUGCACACGUUCAGCUCGGUGACGUCCCACGAACUCUUGAUCCAGCUGAGUGUCGAGGGAGAGCUUCGUCAGCACGAUGGCAUGAUGACGGUGAUGAUGAAGUUACCGGCGCAGGGCUUCGCCUAAGCACUGCAACGAUAUGACUGAGGUGGAAAUCUGUGGAGGGGGGGCACCGCACAUGGCUAAAAGCAAUCAACUUGUAUGUUCUAGGGUGCCCCCCUCACCACGUAUAUAAAGGAGGGAGGGGGGAGGCCGGCCGGCCUCUCUAGGCGCGCCAAGGGGGGAGGAGUCCUCCUCCUAGUAGGAGUAGGACUCCCCCUUUCCUAGUCCCACUAGGAAUAGAAGGAAGAGGGGGAAGGAGAAAGGAAAGGGGGGCCGACCCCCUCACCCAAUUCGGAUUGGGCUUGGGGGAGGGGGGCGCCCCCUCCUAGGCUGCCUUCUCUCCUCUCCCACUAAGGCCCAUUAAGGCCCAUAUGCUCCCCCGGGGGGGGGGGGGUUCCGGUAACCCCCGGUACUCCGGUAAAUGCCCCAACUCACCCGAAACUAUUCCGAAGUCCAAACAUAGUCAUCCAAUAUAUCAAUCUUUAUGUCUCGACCAUUUCGAGACUCCUCUUCAUGUCCGUGAUCAUAUACGGGACUCCGAACUACCUUCGGUACAUCAAAACACAUAAACUCAUAAUACCGAUCGUCACCGAACGUUAAGCGUGCGGACCCUAUGGGUUCGAGAACUAUGUAGACAUGACCGAGACAUGUCUCUGGUCAAUAACCAAUAGCGGAACCUGGAUGUUCAUAUUGGCUCCCACAUAUUCUACGAAGAUCUAUAUCGGUCAAACCGCAUAACAACAUACGUUGUUCCCUUUGUCAUCGGUAUGUUACUUGCCCGAGAUUCGAUCGUCGGUAUCACCAUACCUAGUUCAAUCUCAUUACAGGCAAGUCUCUUUACUCAUUCAAUAAUGCAUCAUCCCACAACUAACUCAUUAGUCACAUUGCUUGCAAGGCUUAUAGUGAUGUGCAUUAUCGAGAGGGCCCAGAGAUACCUCUCCGACAAUCGGAGUGACAAAUCCUAAUCUCGAUCUAUGCCAACUCAACAAACACCAUCGGAGACACCUGUAGAGCACCUUUAUAAUCACCCAGUUACGUUGUGACGUUUGGUAGCACACAAAGUGUUCCUCCGGUAUUCAGGAGUUGCAUAAUCUCAUAGUCAUAGGAAUAUGUAUAAGUCAUGAAGAAAGCAAUAGCAACAAACUAAACGAUCAUCGUGCUAAGCUAACGGAUGGGUCAAGUCAAUCACAUCGUUCUCUAAUGAUGUGAUCCCCUCAAUAAAAUGACAACUCAUGUCUAUGGCUAGGAAACUUAACCAUCUUUGAUUCAACGAGCUAGUCAAGUAGAGGCAUACUAGUGACACUCUGUUUGUCUAUGUAUUCACACAUGUACUAAGUUACCGGUUAAUAUUCUAGCAUGAAUAAUAAACAUUUAUCAUGAAAUAAGGAAAUAAAUAAUAACAUUAUUAUUGCCUCUAGGGCAUAUUUCCUUCAACAUGCAACAUGAUGAAGCUAUCAUGCAUCGACUUACUCUGCUCGGGUUACCUCGUAACCAUCACAUACAUCACUUACCAACAUCGGACAUCACAUGAUUAUCUCAGGAUCAAAUCAAGCUUGGUAUAAACAAUACCUUAGUAAUCAUUACAUGGCCACAAGGAGCUUGAUCUUUACCCACGAUUCUCGCACAACAUCAUGAAUAUCCAACAACUCGGUAUCCUCGAUACCACGGUGAUCAUCUCACGAUCACAACCAAAUAUCCAUCAACUCGGUAUCCUCGAUACCACGGUGAUCAUCUCACGAUCACAACCAAUCUCUUUCUCAUCAUCGAACCAGGGUUGUUAUAAAUCAAGUUAUUAUUAUUACUGUUGACCCAUAGUGUGACCAACUACGAACUGGGCCCUUAUCCGCAGGUGCGGCUAUCGAUAGAUUUAAUACACUCUGCAGAGGUAGAGCACUUUACCCACACCACGAAACCCAUGGCCUCGCACUCCCAUUCGGGUGGACCAACGGCAUUCCGAUAGAACUCUCCCAUUGCCAUGACACUCUUACGACCACUCCGACCAACUCCCCACUGGGCUUAGUCCUGGGUGACCCAGCCUACCAAAGGCAAAACUACCACCGUCGUGGAAAAUAAACAGUCCCAAACGGGGACACAAUACCAUUACAACAAUGGGUCCACAAGGUUAUGUCUGCUUACUGGGCCAGGGUAACGCAUGCCCAUAACCUUCCCUCAUUGGAGGCACCUACAAAAGGCAUGACAACGCACGACUAACGGCCUCCCCAUAAAGGCAAAUGUGGCUACACUUGUCAGCUCGAUAUGCUGGCACCAUGACUCAGCCAACAAUUGUUCAAGUUCAAUUAAGUCCGGUUAAACUUGAAUGCAAUAAGCUGAGUCAUAUGAAAAUAACAUGAUGCAACUACAAUACAUGAGCAUGACACCAACAUAAGCAUGGUUGUGCAUCAUUACUUCUUAACAAUACCACAACAAAUCAUAUAUCUAACUGAGCAUGGCAUACUGACUAGCAUGAACAUCACAAGUAUACACUUCUCAGAAACAUAGCAUGAGCACUAACAUCAACAAUAAAUAUCAUGCAAGAUCAUAUCAACAAUGCUACCAUGCAAGCAUUUAACCAAUUGGAUGCAAAGGAACAUGCAUAACAACGGCACUCGAAACAGACGACAGUCAUGCACCGAAGACCAUCACCGACAUCAACAUGUACUACUAGAAAGCAUAAGCAUAUGAAAAGAAUACUAGCAGGAAUACAUGAUAACCAAGUGCAAGACGACAUAGCACGAGAGUGAACAUGAAACUCUAAGCAUCACCGGAACAACGGUAACCAUAUUUUAAACGAGCAAACAUUGAUUAAAUAUUGAAGUUCAAAACCAUGGCUACUACAUGACUAUGAUGCAAGUGGGUAUUGUGGCUUGCCUGGGGAUGAAGAAAGCACCGGGGAGAAGUGCGAGAAGGAUCGCAGAAAGAUUUGCCGAAAACAGUUCUCUCCGGAGGGGCUGUUUACGUGCAAGGGAAAAUGGUCAUUUUCGAUAUGUCAAACCACAGUGAAAAUGAUGUAAACAGAACGGGCUCGACAAGACGAAGAUGUGGGCAUUGGAUUCACCUUAAUCGGAGUUACGAGCAAAAAGAUAUAGUUGCUUUUCUGCCAAGGACCAUUUGUAAAUAAAAUCAUCACAAACAGGCCCUCAGCCGGAAAAACAGAACACGCACUUCAGGAAAUACGUGUUUGCCUCCGGGAAACGUAUUCUGAGCAGAAACAGAAAGAAAUAUGCUUUUAGUGAAAGAAAACGGACUCUGGCUGAAGGAGAACCAAAAUACGCUUUCCAGAAAUAGAAAGUGUACUCAUUGGAAGUACGUCGCCACUUAUCUGAUGUGGCGGGGGCGGGGUCAACGCGUGUGGCUGCCAGGUGGGGUUGCGUGGGGAGUUAGGCCCGCCUGGCCUCUGUCUUCUUCUUCCUCGCCCUGUUCCCGCACGGGACAGAGGAGGCAGGGGAG